rnacentral:rRNA from 1 species
GAUGAACGCUGGCGGCGUGCCUAAUACAUGCAAGUCGAGCGAACAGACGAGGAGCUUGCUCCUCUGACGUUAGCGGCGGACGGGUGAGUAACACGUGGAUAACCUACCUAUAAGACUGGGAUAACUUCGGGAAACCGGAGCUAAUACCGGAUAAUAUAUUGAACCGCAUGGUUCAAUAGUGAAAGACGGUUUUGCUGUCACUUAUAGAUGGAUCCGCGCCGCAUUAGCUAGUUGGUAAGGUAACGGCUUACCAAGGCGACGAUGCGUAGCCGACCUGAGAGGGGGAUCGACCACACUGGCACUGAGACACGGUCCAGACUCCUACGGGAGGCAGCAGUAGGGAAUCUUCCGCAAUGGGCGAAGGCCUGACGGAGCAACGCCGCGUGAGUGAUGAAGGUCUUCGGAUCGUAAAACUCUGUUAUUAGGGAAGAACAAAUGUGUAAGUAACUAUGCACGUCUUGACGGUACCUAAUCAGAAAGCCACGGCUAACUACGUG